UACGUAGGGUGCAAGCGUUGUCCGGAAUUAUUGGGCGUAAAGAGCUCGUAGGCGGUCUGUUGCGUCGGCUGUGAAAACCCGAGGCUCAACCUCGGGCCUGCAGCCGAUACGGGCAGACUAGAGUUCGGCAGGGGAGACUGGAAUUCCUGGUGUAGCGGUGAAAUGCGCAGAUAUCAGGAAGAACACCCCGUGGGCGAAGGCGGUUCUCUUGGGACGGUAC
rnacentral:rRNA from 1 species